GCGCCGUUGGCUCAGCCUGGAUAGAGCAACGGACUUCGGAUCCGUAGGUCGCAGGUUCGAAUCCUGCACGGCGCGCCA
rnacentral:tRNA from 1 species